rnacentral:tRNA from 1 species
CAGCAUUGUGGUUUAACAUGUAGAAUACGGGUUUUGGGGAUUCGGGGUCUUUUCAUAAGCUUGCUGA